AUGGCUGCACCUGCACGAGCGCUGACCGCUGCCAGAGCCAGACCAGGCCCACGCCUCUUCUUGCCUCCUCCAGCAUCGAUCGAUCCUGUGUGUUUCUGUUUCAGGAGCGGGGCCAGCAUGAACCACUCCUCGGCCAGCGCGCAGCGUGAGGACGAGCGCGGGGACGCCCAUGGUCCGGCGGCGGAGGCGAUGACCGGGGCGCAGGUGGAGGCCGCGCUGAACCGCAAGAACGUCGAGGUGCUCCAGGGCGAGGAGGAGGAGCACCUCGCCACGGUGCUGCCGGACGACACCAUCGGCGAGGGCGCGCUGGACCUGGACGGCGGCGAGGACGCGUCGUGGGUGCCUGACCAGGGCACGGGCGUCUUCGUCCCCGCCGAUGCCAAUGCUGACGCUGACGACCACUGCGGCGGCGCUCAUCCCGCCACACCGCACCUGUACGGAGGCGCCACUCCGGGUGGGUCGACGGCGUCGGUGCUGGAGCUGGACCAGGCGGUGUUCGUGCGGGAGGAGGAGAUGGAGGACGUGGAGAGGCCCGCCAUGGACCUCACCGAUGCCAACGGCGGCAGCAACAACUAG
rnacentral:rRNA from 1 species